GAUGAAGAACGUAGCGAAAUGCGAUAAGUAGUGUGAAUUGCAGAAUUCAGUGAAUCAUCGAAUCUUUGAACGCACAUUGCGCCCCUUGGUAUUCCAUGGGGCAUGCCUGUUCGAGCGUCAUUUGUACCUUCAAGCUUUGCUUGGUGUUGGGUGUUUGUCUCGCCUUUGCGUGUAGACUCGCCUUAAAAUAAUUGGCAGCCGGCGUAUUGAUUUCGGAGCGCAGUACAUCUCGCGCUUUGCACUCAUAACGACAGCGUCCAAAAGUACAUUUUACACUCUUGACCUCGGAUCAGGUAGGGAUACCCGCUGAACUUAAGCAUAUCGCGGAGGA
rnacentral:misc_RNA from 1 species